ensembl:lncRNA
GGGGAGAUCAUUAAUACAAAGCAUUGGAGUCGGUUUUGGAUUUUCACUUGUUGUUGGCUUUAAUAUGAACAGUCACAUAAAAUUCAUUCCAAUUUUUUGCCUUUGCUUCAAUUAGGAUGUUUCUUUAAAUCUACAACACCUUCCUUUUCGAAAAGUUUACUGACAUAGUAAAGAAGUAGCUAGGGAACUCAGUGAGUAUGAGCAACAAUAGCUUAAGGACACUAUGUCCAAUAAAGAGGAAUUCAUCAUCUGCAGUUCGUGAAAAAGCGCAAUAUUAAAAACAAUUCAGCAGACCCUCAGAGUGCGGAUACAUACUGUUUUCAGCUGUAGAGGUUAACUUCAUGCACUUAUCAACAUGUAGUUUAGAGGCUUGCAUUAGAGUGCUUUGGUGCUUGGGUAUCUUUUAUUUAGCAUGGUUGUACCGUUGUGAAUGUAGCUAUAUAAAUAAAUACGCUCAAGAGUCUAUCGUGUGUUUGACAUGCAACUAAAAAUUCGAAAAUAUAUUUUAAAUCAGUAACUUUGCAAAUUUAGAGGAUUUGUUUUCGGACAACAUAUGUGUCACAUUUUAAACAGGGUUUGUAUAAUCAGCACUGACAUACAGACAUUUAUGUGCUGGGUAUAACAGACAUGCUUACCGUGUGAAAGGCCCACCGAUGUCUUGGAGCAGAGAAACACGCUGUAUUGUUGCUUUUCUCUGUUGUAUAAGCAGCGCCCGUAGGUCAGAAACGCUGUGUGCGGGUAGCACAGUCGGCUCCAACGCACAUCCAGGCAUCCGUCUGAAAGAAAGGUGUCGCUGCAGCUAGGCUCUCAGGAUAGUCAUGCUUUUAUUUAUAUUUGCAUUCUGGUGCGUUAAACUAGCAGCCUCUGUGUCCCGCUUGGAUCAUCAUUCCGAAAAUUCAGAUAUUUAAAUAAAAUGGCGAAUUGGCUAGUGAUGAGGAAAGAAUAUGUGUUUGUUUGUUUUUAGAAGUAUCACAGUUUAUUUCUAAAGGAAUACAUGUUAUUUGUGACACUGUUUGAAAACUAAUAGCCUCUGUGUGUUUCAGAGCCCUAAAGAAAAAAGCAAAAUACCCCUAAACUAGUUAAAUUAAAAGUAAAAUGCUCGUGCUGAUGAACGAAAGUGUUAUGCUCUCAAGGACCGAUGUAAAGGGUUAGUGUGGCUGCUUAGGGCAUUUUUAUAUAGGUGUGGGGCUUGGUUUCAGCUGGCCUCUGAGAUGCAGAGAUAAAGGUGUAAACAAAGGUGAUGCCUGUUUGGAGGAUGGUCAGUACAAAGUGUAAUGGCAUGAUAAAAGGUGAACGUGUAAUGGUGGCACCGAUGGACCUAGCACAGCCGGACCUCUGCCAUAAGAUAAAGGAGACUGUUUGUAUUGAAAACUAUGGCAGUACAAUUGAGAUGCUGUUGAUAAGGAUGGCCUCUUCUGCUGACUGUAGGGGGUCUAACUGUAACCCCCUCUGUCUAAAUGUUGCAGAAUUAAGAAUCCCUGUUUAUUUCUAAAGGAAUGCCUGCUGUUUGUGGUAUUCUGUUUGAAACUAUUAGCCUCUGUGUGUGAAUAUGUGUUUUUAGAAGGUGGAAAAAACUUUCUGUUUAAAAACUAUUAGCCUCUGUGUGUUUCAGAGCCCUAAAGAAAAAAGCAAAAUGCUCCUAAAACAGUUACAUUAAAUGCUGUGUGUGAAUAUGUGUUUUUAGAAGGUGGAAAAAACUUUCUGUUUAAAAACUGUUAGCCUCUGUGUGUGUUUCAGAGCCCUAAAGAAAAAUACCCCUAAACUAGUUAAAUUAAAUCAUCUAUGUCUAAAUAACAGAACUCUGAGACCUAUACAAUCCUUUAAAAAAGAGUUUAAGUAAAACACAUAAUGGUUUCAUUAAAUAAAACGCUAUUAAACACAUGUAAACAUAUGAUCUCUGAACUGCAAAGUCCGUUCACGCGCACAUGCACACGCAAGGUCCGUUCGCGCACACAUGGACGCGGAGGGGGAUGCGGGUGGGGGUGUGGGGGGUGAGGGGUGGGGGGGGGGCAAAAAAAGCUAUAGGUAUAUUACUACUCUCAGAGGUACACAGUCGAAUACCUUCUCCAAGUCUACAAAACACUGGUUGGGCAAAGUCCCAUGCACCCUCAAGAAUCUUCGUCUCAGGUCUCAUGCAUCCUUUUAUUGCGAUUCCGCUGGAAGACCCGUCUCUGCUAACAGGUUAUGGGCCCAGUAACCAGUGUUGGAUGGAGGAUCACUAACAGGAGCGUGGGAAGACUCCAGAAUCCACUCUGGCUGGAAUCCGGUGGAUACAGCAGUGUUACAGAACAGUUCUCCACAGUCGCUGUCCACAUGGGUCAGUGGGACCAAGAAGCACUCUGCUAAUGUGAGACUCUGACCAGCAACAUCCAGCAAGACCCAGACAGCGUUUUCUAUCUCCCAGCUGGAGUUUUUUGUUUGUCUGUGACUGGAGAGUCAGAUUUUUGUUGAAGCUGGAGAAACAGAGAGGUUAAUACACGCUACUGAUCCCUGAUGGGAGAAUCAUCACCUCUGCCAACAAAGAAGCCUGGUGGAUGUUUGUUUGCAGUCUGAUGAUGGGACACCAUGCUCUGCAUCUUCAAAGUUUGUCUCUUGAUUAUUAUUCAUACACAGUAAUGUGAAGUAUGCUUAUAUCUAGUAUAACUGGACCAACCUGGUGCUCUUCAUUUAUGGAGGCUGUUGAGUCUGAAUGUUGGGUGUUGUGUAUCUCGUGUUCUCUGGGCUUUGUUGUCCUCAGUCUUUUUGCAGGAUCAGAAAACAAAACCAGGAGGCGCGCAAAUGUUUCUUCUCCAAUUGGAUGAUGAUAAGACUGUGACACGGGAUGCCACCUUUAGUCUUGUGAUGAAGCAAAGCUCAGGAAGAAGUGUGAUUAAAUGGUACCCACAUGUGUGCUGCUGAGAAGGAUGUACAGGGGCACCUGCAGCCAAAUCCAAGCCUCCUCAGCAACUUCAGGUCUGUCAGCGUGCUGAGGUCACAGAAACAAGAAAAGCAGGUUGACUUCAGAGUGUUGUUUACAGUUUUCUGUCAUCAUGAUCUCCCCUGAAGUUUAUCACUAUUAUACAAGCAAGCAGAGCGGCAGUUUGUGCUCACAGAUGGUGACGGUGUGGAGAGACGGUGGUGUUUCCUCAGAAGAACUAGCAGAGUCACAAAGGGCACGAGUCCAUCUCACCACCUUGACUUGUUGAUCAGUGGAUACACUUGUCUCCCCUUUAAAGGAGACACUCUUAGAGAGAGAUGAUCCGAGUCAUCACUAAAUAUGGACAGGAUAUCACUAUUAGACUGUCUAACCUGCCGGAGCAGCACUGAAUGACCACCACACAUGAUCAGUUCCUGCAACAUUCAGCAGCUCUGCUUUUGUGUCAAAUGUCCAACAGCUGGAGAGGAGACUAAACCAGUGUACUGGGAUGUUUCACCAACACGUGCCAGACGCUGUUCCUUCAUGGUGACAUCACCAGAGACGGCCCCGCCCACCUCAGGACCUCGUCAUUGAUCAUGAUGAUUUUAAUGAUGACAGCGAGUGGAACUAAGACUGUAAAAAUCAGAAUGUUUAGAUGCUUUCUAAUUAUUAAUGAAUACUGAGAGCCUCUUUCUGUGUUUUGUCUGUUUUGUUUGUUUUUUUACCUCAUUUGUUACUAACAAAGUUCACCAAACUCACACAGUUUACAUCCUGUAUGUUUCCAUCUUUACCAGCCACACUCUUAACUGCAUUUAAGAAAACAAACCGUAGAAAUUGUCGUUUUUCUCUUUUGUAAUUUUGUAAUUCAGUGAAUAUACUGCACUGCUUCCUUUAAUUGCGUCUCACAUUGCUUUAAGUUUUUCCAGUGUCCAGUUAUUUUUUACUGUUGUUUGAAUUCUCUGUAUGUUUGACCCUGUAGACUGUUUAAUGGACUGCUUGUCUUCCUGUUUGUAACCGACGCCUGUUUUUGACUAAAGAUUUGGAUUUCUG